rnacentral:SRP_RNA from 1 species
CUAGCCUACUAGACUGUAAAUUGUGAAAUAUACAGUUUAAAUGAACUGUUCUAGACUAGAGGGCACUGCGUGAGGCUGGUUUCACAGAGCAGCGAACACCUCUGGCUCUUGACAGUGGAGGGAUAACAAG